rnacentral:tRNA from 1 species
UCCCAGCUGGCUCAGAUGGUAAAGCAUCUGCCUACAAUGUGGGAUAUCCGGGUUUGAUCCCUGGGUUGGGAA